UCCGGCCGGUGUUCCCAGACUGCCGGCCCUGCUGCUGCUCCGGGUCGGCCCCUGAGGUUCUGGGAGGUUCUCAAACGCUCCCUUUUGAAGUUCUGGGUUCCCGGUGGAACCAGCCAGGCAGCCCAAAGUGCAGACCAUCCAAUGUUCAUCAGUGCGUAGUGGAUACACAAAAAGUGGUCCCUCCACACCUGGAGCAUCACUCAACCAUGAAAAGGAGAGAAGCCCUGACACUCGCCACCACGUGGACCGAUCCUAAGAACAUAAUGCUCAAUGAGAGAGGCAGACACAGAAGGACACACAGGGUGUGAUUCCACUGAUGGGAAACGUGCAGAACAAGCCGAACCACAGACACAGAGGGUGGGUUCCUGGUUGUCAGGGGCUGGGGGAAGGGAUGGGGUUGAUGCUAAUGAGGAUGGGGUUCCCUUUUGGGGUGAUGAGAGUGUUCUAAGAUUAGAUAGAACCAUUGCACAACAUGGUGAAUGUCCUCAAAACCAGUGAAUUGCACACUUUAAGUGGGUAAACUGUAUGGUAGGUGAAUUAUAUCUCAAUAAAGCUGCUAUACUAAAAACGAA